rnacentral:tRNA from 1 species
CAUUAGGAAGCUAAAAUGGGUUAUAGCGUUAGCCUUUUAAGCUAAAGACUGGUGACUCCCAACCACCCCUAGUGA